AUAGUCUUUAAUUGCUUCAGAUGGAAAGUUAUUCGCUGUCAAAGUGACGCCUAAAUGAAUGGGAGUCAAUGGAAUGUUAACGGAAGGUGAAGGCUUGUUAGCCUCAGAAUCUCCCCAUAGGAGGUAUGAUUUACAGAUGCUC